UAGUCUGCAACCGACUACAUGAAGCUGGAAUCGCUAGUAAUCGCGGAUCAGAAUGCCGCGGUGAAUACGUUCCCGGGUCUUGUACACACCGCCCGUCACACCAUGGGAGUCGGAAAUGCCCGAAGUCUGUGACCCAACCUGAGAGGGAGGGAGCAGCCGAAGGCAGGUCUGAUGACUGGGGUGAAGUCGUAACAAGGUAAC
rnacentral:rRNA from 1 species